UACAGAGGGGGCAAGCGUUGUUCGGAAUUACUGGGCGUAAAGCGUGCGCAGGCGGUUCUUCAAGUCCGUUGUGAAAGCCCCGGGCUCAACCUGGGAAUAGCAGUGGAAACUAGGGGACUGGAAUCUGGCAGAGGGGGGUGGAAUGCCGCGUGUAGCAGUGAAAUGCGUAGAGAUGCGGCGGAACACCGAUGGCGAAGGCAGCCCCCUGGGCUGAGAUUGACGCUCAGGCACGAAAGCGUGGGGAGCAAACAGG
rnacentral:rRNA from 1 species